rnacentral:rRNA from 2 species
AGCGCAUACGGUGGAUGCCUUGGCAGUCAGAGGCGAUGAAAGACGUGGUAGCCUGCGAAAAGCUUCGGGGAGUCGGCAAACAGACUGUGAUCCGGAGGUAUCUGAAUGGGGGAACCCAGCCAUCAUAAGAUGGUUAUCUUGUACUGAAUACAUAGGUGCAAGAGGCGAACCAGGGGAACUGAAACAUCUAAGUACCCUGAGGAAAAGAAAUCAACCGAGAUUCCCUUAGUAGUGGCGAGCGAACGGGGACCAGCCCUUAAGUUGUAUUGAGAUUAGCGGAACGUUCUGGAAAGGACGGCCAUAGUGGGUGAUAGCCCUGUACGCGAAAAUCCCUUUGCAAUGAAAUCGAGUAGGACGGGGCACGAGAAACCUUGUCUGAAUAUGGGGGGACCAUCCUCCAAGGCUAAAUACUACUGACUGACCGAUAGUGAACCAGUACCGUGAGGGAAAGGCGAAAAGAACCGCGGAGAGCGGAGUGAAAUAGAUCCUGAAACCGUAUGCGUACAAGCAGUGGGAGCCCACUUUGUUGGGUGACUGCGUACCUUUUGUAUAAUGGGUCAGCGACUUAUUUUCAGUGGCGAGCUUAACCGAAUAGGGGAGGCGUAGCGAAAGCGAGUCUUAAUAGGGCGUCUAGUCGCUGGGAAUAGACCCGAAACCGGGCGAUCUAUCCAUGGGCAGGUUGAAGGUUGGGUAACACUAACUGGAGGACCGAACCGACUACCGUUGAAAAGUUAGCGGAUGACCUGUGGAUCGGAGUGAAAGGCUAAUCAAGCUCGGAGAUAGCUGGUUCUCCUCGAAAGCUAUUUAGGUAGCGCCUCAUGUAUCACUGUAGGGGGUAGAGCACUGUUUCGGCUAGGGGGUCAUCCCGACUUACCAAACCGAUGCAAACUCCGAAUACCUACAAGUGCCGAGCAUGGGAGACACACGGCGGGUGCUAACGUCCGUCGUGAAAAGGGAAACAACCCAGACCGUCAGCUAAGGUCCCAAAGUCAUGGUUAAGUGGGAAACGAUGUGGGAAGGCUUAGACAGCUAGGAGGUUGGCUUAGAAGCAGCCACCCUUUAAAGAAAGCGUAAUAGCUCACUAGUCGAGUCGGCCUGCGCGGAAGAUGUAACGGGGCUCAAACCAUGCACCGAAGCUACGGGUAUCAUCUUUUGAUGAUGCGGUAGAGGAGCGUUCUGUAAGCCUGUGAAGGUGAGUUGAGAAGCUUGCUGGAGGUAUCAGAAGUGCGAAUGCUGACAUGAGUAACGACAAUGGGUGUGAAAAACACCCACGCCGAAAGACCAAGGUUUCCUGCGCAACGUUAAUCGACGCAGGGUUAGUCGGUCCCUAAGGCGAGGCUGAAAAGCGUAGUCGAUGGAAAACAGGUUAAUAUUCCUGUACUUCUGGUUAUUGCGAUGGAGGGACGGAGAAGGCUAGGCCAGCCUGGCGUUGGUUGUCCAGGUUUAAGGUGGUAGGCUGAGAUCUUAGGUAAAUCCGGGAUCUUAAGGCCGAGAGCUGAUGACGAGUGUUCUUUAGAACACGAAGUGGUUGAUGCCAUGCUUCCAAGAAAAGCUUCUAAGCUUCAGGUAACCAGGAACCGUACCCCAAACCGACACAGGUGGUUGGGUAGAGAAUACCAAGGCGCUUGAGAGAACUCGGGUGAAGGAACUAGGCAAAAUGGCACCGUAACUUCGGGAGAAGGUGCGCCGGUGAGGGUGAAGCAUUUACUGCGUAAGCUCAUGCCGGUCGAAGAUACCAGGCCGCUGCGACUGUUUAUUAAAAACACAGCACUCUGCAAACACGAAAGUGGACGUAUAGGGUGUGACGCCUGCCCGGUGCCGGAAGGUUAAUUGAUGGGGUUAGCGCAAGCGAAGCUCUUGAUCGAAGCCCCGGUAAACGGCGGCCGUAACUAUAACGGUCCUAAGGUAGCGAAAUUCCUUGUCGGGUAAGUUCCGACCUGCACGAAUGGCGUAACGAUGGCGGCGCUGUCUCCACCCGAGACUCAGUGAAAUUGAAAUCGCUGUGAAGAUGCAGUGUAUCCGCGGCUAGACGGAAAGACCCCGUGAACCUUUACUAUAGCUUUGCACUGGACUUUGAAUUUGCUUGUGUAGGAUAGGUGGGAGGCUUUGAAGCGUGGACGCCAGUCUGCGUGGAGCCAACCUUGAAAUACCACCCUGGCAACUUUGAGGUUCUAACUCAGGUCCGUUAUCCGGAUCGAGGACAGUGUAUGGUGGGUAGUUUGACUGGGGCGGUCUCCUCCUAAAGAGUAACGGAGGAGUACGAAGGUGCGCUCAGACCGGUCGGAAAUCGGUCGUAGAGUAUAAAGGCAAAAGCGCGCUUGACUGCGAGACAGACACGUCGAGCAGGUACGAAAGUAGGUCUUAGUGAUCCGGUGGUUCUGUAUGGAAGGGCCAUCGCUCAACGGAUAAAAGGUACUCCGGGGAUAACAGGCUGAUACCGCCCAAGAGUUCAUAUCGACGGCGGUGUUUGGCACCUCGAUGUCGGCUCAUCACAUCCUGGGGCUGAAGCCGGUCCCAAGGGUAUGGCUGUUCGCCAUUUAAAGUGGUACGCGAGCUGGGUUUAGAACGUCGUGAGACAGUUCGGUCCCUAUCUGCCGUGGACGUUUGAGAUUUGAGAGGGGCUGCUCCUAGUACGAGAGGACCGGAGUGGACGAACCUCUGGUGUUCCGGUUGUCACGCCAGUGGCAUUGCCGGGUAGCUAUGUUCGGAAAAGAUAACCGCUGAAAGCAUCUAAGCGGGAAACUUGCCUCAAGAUGAGAUCUCACUGGAACCUUGA